ensembl:ncRNA ZK617.8 ncRNA
AUCGCCGCUAGAUCUGCGUCUCUUCGUCUUCAACACUCUCUCACUCGAUGCCGUUCGCCGGGCGCCGCCCCCUCGACUCAUCUGCGUCUCUUCCUCUCUCCAUACUAUUUUUGCAAAUGUGGUGUGGGCUCCCGCGAGCUGCUACUGAUGCCCGGCGCCUCCUCUUUCAUAUGUGCAUUUAUCCCACAUCUCUCUCCCUCCUCCUGAUGCCCUCGGAGCGUCUUUGUUUGUGGCAUUUCGAGCAUACUAUUGCUUUCACAUAUUUACUAUUUUAUUUUUU